GAAAUGUUGAAAUGAAAAUUAUUAGUGCUUGAGAACAGUGAGAAAUAACGGGAACCAAUUGCAUAUGCUCAGGAAAGUCGUUAUUUUUACAGAUUACACAUUGAUAGGCCAAUUGUUGUGUUCAUGCUUUUUUACCUCUUGAUUUGAUUUCCUUGGUCUGAUCUUCACGUUUCCUUUCUAAUAUUGUAGACAAUAAGCCAAGCACUGGC
rnacentral:misc_RNA from 1 species